rnacentral:rRNA from 1 species
UACGUAGGGACCGAGCGUUGUCCGGAAUUAUUGGGCGUAAAGAGCUCGUAGGCGGUGUGUCGCGUCGGCCGUGAAAACCUGCAGCUUAACUGUGGGCUUGCGGUCGAUACGGGCAUCACUGGAGUUCGGCAGGGGAGACUGGAAUUCCUGGUGUAGCGGUGAAAUGCGCAGAUAUCAGGAGGAACACCGAUGGCGAAGGCAGGUCUCUGGGCCAUAACUGACGCUGAGAAGCGAAAGCAUGGGGAGCGAACAGG